rnacentral:rRNA from 1 species
AACGCGAAGAACCUUACCAGGGUUUGACAUCCUUGGAAUUUCUCCGAAAGGAGAGAGUGCUUUAUUGAGCCAAGUGACAGGUGAUGCAUGGCCGUCGUCAGCUCGUGUCGUGAGAUGUUUGGUUAAGUCCAUCAACGAGCGCAACCCUUAUGAAUAGUUGAAUUUCUCUAUUCAGACUGCCCUGGUAACAGGGAGGAAGGAGGGGAUGAUGUCAGGUCAGUAUUUCCCUUACACCCUGGGCUACAAACACGCUACAAUGGCCGGUACAAAGGGCUGCUAAGUCGCGAGGCGGAGCAAAUCCCAUCAAAAACCGGUCCCAGUUCGGAUAGCAGGCUGAAAACUCGCCUGCUUGAAGCCGGAAAUCGCUAGUAAUGGUGAGUCAGCACAUCACCGUGAAUACGUUCCCGGGCCUUGUACACACCGACUGUAC